UGUUUUUAAGUCGCAACUGCGUAGAAGUGAUUAUAACCGUCAUCGCGGCUCAUCUCGUGUCUUACACUCAGUGAUACUGCUCAUAGACUUCAAUAAGAUAUUUUAAAGUAAAAUGUCGCGAACAACAUCUAGUCAUGAUUCCAAAUAAUAUGCAGUUUCCACCUUUUCCAGAACCAAAACAGGGAUGCUCCGGAAAGUCAGUAGAGUUAUUGGCCAAUUAUUUUCCCAUAAGUUCAGUAACAAAUACGUUUCC